AUUGAACGCUGGCGGCAGGCUUAACACAUGCAAGUCGAGCGAGCGGCGGAAGGGUGAGUAAUGUCUGGGAAACUGCCUGAUGGAGGGGGAUAACUACUGGAAACGGUAGCUAAUACCGCAUACCAUCAGAUCUGCCCAGAUGGGAUUAGCUAGGAGGUGGGGUAAUGGCUCACCUAGGCGACGAUCCCUAGCUGGUCUGAGAGGAUGACCGGCCACACUGGAACUGAGACACGGGCCAGACUCCUACGGUAGGCAGAAGUGGGGAAGUUGGCACAAUGGGCGCAAGCCUGAUGCAGCCAUGCCGCGUGUGUGAAGAAGGCCUUCGGGUUGUAAAGCACUUUCAGAGAGGAGGCGUUACUCGCAGAAGAAGCACCGGCUAACUCCGUGCCAGCAGCCGCGGUAAUAC
rnacentral:rRNA from 1 species